rnacentral:rRNA from 1 species
GGAUUCAUUUCCUUAGUAACGUAGCUAACGCGUGAAGUUGACCGCCUGGGGAGUACGGUCGCAAGAUUAAAACUCAAAGGAAUUGACGGGGACCCGCACAAGCGGUGGAUGAUGUGGAUUAAUUCGAUGCAACGCGAAAAACCUUACCUACCCUUGACAUGUACGGAAUCCUGCUGAGAGGUGGGAGUGCUCGAAAGAGAGCCGUAACACAGGUGCUGCAUGGCUGUCGUCAGCUCGUGUCGUGAGAUGUUGGGUU